rnacentral:rRNA from 1 species
UACAGAGGGUGCGAGCGUUAAUCGGAGUUACUGGGCGUAAAGGGCGCGUAGGCGGUUUGUUAAGUGAGAUGUGAAAUCCCCGGGCUUAACCUGGGAACUGCAUUCGAUACUGGACGGCUAGAGUAUGAGAGAGGGAGGUAGAAUUCCACGUGUAGCGGUGAAAUGCGUAGAUAUGUGGAGGAAUACCGGUGGCGAAGGCGGCCUCCUGGUUCAAUACUGACGCUGAGGUGCGAAAGCGUGGGGAGCAAACAGG